AACGUAGGACGCAAACGUUAUCCGGAAUUACUGGGCGUAAAGAGCGUGUAGGCGGUCUGUUAAGUCAACCGUGAAAGCUCCCGGCUAAACUGGGAGAGGUCGGCUGAUACUGGCAGACUAGAGGGUGUUAGAGGGAUGCGGAAUUCCGGGUGUAGUGGUGAAAUGCGUAGAGAUCCGGAGGAACACCAGAGGCGAAGGCGGCAUCCUGGGACAUACCUGACGCUGAGACGCGAAAGCAUGGGGAGCGAACGGGAUUAGAAACCCCCGUAGUCC
rnacentral:rRNA from 1 species